UACGUAGGGAGCAAGCGUUGUUCGGAUUUACUGGGCGUAAAGGGCGCGUAGGCGGCAAAUUAAGUCAGCUGUGAAAUCUCCCGAGCUUAACUCGGAACUGUCAGCUGAUACUGAUCUGCUAGAGUGCGGAAGGGGCAAUCGGAAUUCUUGGUGUAGCGGUGAAAUGCGUAGAUAUCAAGAGGAACACCCUGAGGUGAAGACGGGUUGCUGGGCCGACACUGACGCUGAGUGCGGCGAAAGCCAGGGGAGCAAACGGG
rnacentral:rRNA from 1 species